rnacentral:rRNA from 1 species
AAUGAACGCUGGCGGCGUGCUUAACACAUGCAAGUCGCACGAGAAUUCUUCUGCUUGCAGAAGAUAGUAAAGUGGCGCACGGGUGAGUAAUGCGUGGGCAAUCUUCCCUUGAAUCGGGGAUAACAUCGCGAAAGCUUUGCUAAUACCGGAUAAUAUCCAUAGGUCUGAGGGCGUAUGGAUCAAAGGUGGCCUCUACAUGUAAGCUACUGUUUGAGGAUGAGCCUGCGUACCAUUAGCUAGUUGGCGGGGUAACGGCCCACCAAGGCGACGAUGGUUAGCUGGUCUGAGAGGAUGAUCAGCCACACUGGAACUGACACACGGUCCAGACUCCUACGGGUGCAG